AGGGGGAGAAAGAAUUGCUAAGAUCUAUGGAGAACUGUCAACAGAGCCUGCUACAACCGGUGUUCUCUCCAACUAUGGAAGAUGCAACGUCUGGGUUCCUGCUCUUCCUCCCACCUGACCCGCCACACGUCACUCUGUUCUAUGACAGGAACCACACAGACUGGUAUCAAGAUUCUUUAAGGUAAAACACAAACAGCCAUUUCUAGGAAUAUGUAUUUGGCAUCAGAGUGUUUGGCAGCUGCUACUUCUGAACAAUUUAUAACGAUAUAUGAUGUCAGAUGAAAGAUUUUACAUAUUUCUCCUUCUCUCCAUGUUGAGCACCAGGUAAAAGAAUUAGGGGCAUGGUUAAACGUUCCCUUCAGGACACUGAUUGGGAUCCUACCAGCGUGCAGAACGUACUGAUCAUCAUUAAGCAGCAGAAGGUCCACGGACGAACAACCAAUGUGUCCUCCAGCAACAAGCAAAUCGUUCUAACAAACCCAAUCUGCGGCGCGUGAAUGACACGUUAUCGUGUUGGGACUAAAUGGCUGCUGUUACAACUACAUUGUGGGUACGUUGAUCUCACGCAACCUUUGAGGGACCUCGUGAAGAUAUCAGAGAAGAAACAGGGUCUGCCGUUGUGACCUGAGGGGGAGAAAGAAUUGCUAAGAUCUAUGGAGAACUGUCAACAGAGCCUGCUACAACCGGUGUUCUCUCCAACUAUGGAAGAUGCAACGUCUGGGUUCCUGCUCUUCCUCCCACCUGACCCGCCACACGUCACUCUGUUCUAUGACAGGAACCACACAGACUGGUAUCAAGAUUCUUUAAGGUAAAACACAAACAGCCAUUUCUAGGAAUAUGUAUUUGGCAUCAGAGUGUUUGGCAGCUGCUACUUCUGAACAAUUUAUAACGAUAUAUGAUGUCAGAUGAAAGAUUUUACAUAUUUCUCCUUCUCUCCAUGUUGAGCACCAGGUAAAAGAAUUAGGGGCAUGGUUAAACGUUCCCUUCAGGACACUGAUUGGGAUCCUACCAGCGUGCAGAACGUACUGAUCAUCAUUAAGCAGCAGAAGGUCCACGGACGAACAACCAAUGUGUCCUCCAGCAACAAGCAAAUCGUUCUAACAAACCCAAUCUGCGGCGCGUGAAUGACACGUUAUCGUGUUGGGACUAAAUGGCUGCUGUUACAACUACAUUGUGGGUACGUUGAUCUCACGCAACCUUUGAGGGACCUCGUGAAGAUAUCAGAGAAGAAACAGGGUCUGCCGUUGUGACCUGAGGGGGAGAAAGAAUUGCUAAGAUCUAUGGAGAACUGUCAACAGAGCCUGCUACAACCGGUGUUCUCUCCAACUAUGGAAGAUGCAACGUCUGGGUUCCUGCUCUUCCUCCCACCUGACCCGCCACACGUCACUCUGUUCUAUGACAGGAACCACACAGACUGGUAUCAAGAUUCUUUAAGGUAAAACACAAACAGCCAUUUCUAGGAAUAUGUAUUUGGCAUCAGAGUGUUUGGCAGCUGCUACUUCUGAACAAUUUAUAACGAUAUAUGAUGUCAGAUGAAAGAUUUUACAUAUUUCUCCUUCUCUCCAUGUUGAGCACCAGGUAAAAGAAUUAGGGGCAUGGUUAAACGUUCCCUUCAGGACACUGAUUGGGAUCCUACCAGCGUGCAGAACGUACUGAUCAUCAUUAAGCAGCAGAAGGUCCACGGACGAACAACCAAUGUGUCCUCCAGCAACAAGCAAAUCGUUCUAACAAACCCAAUCUGCGGCGCGUGAAUGACACGUUAUCGUGUUGGGACUAAAUGGCUGCUGUUACAACUACAUUGUGGGUACGUUGAUCUCACGCAACCUUUGAGGGACCUCGUGAAGAUAUCAGAGAAGAAACAGGGUCUGCCGUUGUGACCUGAGGGGGAGAAAGAAUUGCUAAGAUCUAUGGAGAACUGUCAACAGAGCCUGCUACAACCGGUGUUCUCUCCAACUAUGGAAGAUGCAACGUCUGGGUUCCUGCUCUUCCUCCCACCUGACCCGCCACACGUCACUCUGUUCUAUGACAGGAACCACACAGACUGGUAUCAAGAUUCUUUAAGGUAAAACACAAACAGCCAUUUCUAGGAAUAUGUAUUUGGCAUCAGAGUGUUUGGCAGCUGCUACUUCUGAACAAUUUAUAACGAUAUAUGAUGUCAGAUGAAAGAUUUUACAUAUUUCUCCUUCUCUCCAUGUUGAGCACCAGGUAAAAGAAUUAGGGGCAUGGUUAAACAUUCCCUUCAGGACACUGAUUGGGAUCCUACCAGCGUGCAGGUUUGCUGU